AUUGAACGCUGGCGGCAGGCCUAACACAUGCAAGUCGAGCGGAUGAGGGGUGCUUGCACCCCGAUUCAGCGGCGGACGGGUGAGUAAUGCCUAGGAAUCUGCCCGAUAGUGGGGGACAACGUUUCGAAAGGAACGCUAAUACCGCAUACGUCCUACGGGAGAAAGUGGGGGCUCUUCGGACCUCACGCUAUCGGAUGAGCCUAGGUCGGAUUAGCUAGUUGGUGGGGUAAAGGCUCACCAAGGCGACGAUCCGUAACUGGUCUGAGAGGAUGAUCAGUCACACUGGAACUGAGACACAGUCCAGACUCCUACGGGAGGCAGCAGUGGGGAAUAUUGGACAAUGGGCGAAAGCCUGAUCCAGCCAUGCCGCGUGUGUGAAGAAGGUCUUCGGAUUGUAAAGCACUUUAAGUCGGGAGGAAGGGCUGCAGGUUAAUACCUUGCAGCCUUGACGUUACCGACAGAAUAAGCACCGGCUAACUUCGUGCCAGCAGCCGCCGUAAUAC
rnacentral:rRNA from 1 species